CGGCCUGUCACCGCGCCAGAGCGGCAGACACUGACUACACCGGGCCUGUGCGGCUGCUGUCUGCGCGGCAGCGCUGCCGACAGCCGCCGGCCCGCCCUCGGAGGUCUGAGGAGAGAAGGAGAGGGCUAGAGAAAUUUUCCCGCUUCAUGCUUUCAGAAGUAAAGGAUGGGAACACAAGGGCGCAAACCUGUUCUUUGGGGUCUUUUUAUUUGCAGUGAUCUAGAGUGAGGUAGUAGCAACAGCAUUUGUAAGGAAAACAGAAAGUAAAAUAUGACAAUGGAAGAUAUGUUCAGGUUAAUUAAUCAGGCAGUAACCAGUUCCAAGAUCAAUAAUGCAGGCAAGUGAAACGGGACAAUAUAAACUCUCCUGCACCUUAAUACAUGGGAGGAUAGCCGUCCUGGUGAUACAAGAGAAAUCCGUGUUUUCUACUCUGCGUAUUGGUUCAUCUGUGACUAUUGUGGGUUUCAUUAAGCUGUGAACUCGGGAAAGCAAAAACGAAGCAACCAAGGAAAAAACGUAUUUUUAGAGUUAAUGAAAGAGAUAAAAGGAACUAAGCUACUUACAGCUACAUUAAAAAGAAAAUAGCUUCUGAGCAGUAUACAGCAGACUGCUUUUAACUCUGAGAGACAGGGACUGAUUUGGAGAGAGAUCUCAGAACUGGAAGUCAGAAGACCUUUGCUCUUCCAUCUGUCCUGAGAUGAAUCUGCCACAUAUCAUUAGGCAAAGGCUUGACUCCUCUGUAGGGUAACGCAGUUUCCCUGCAUGUCACCUGGAAACAGGAAUGCUCACCUUGGAAAGAUGCUGCAAAGAGUGUAUCACUGUUACUAAUCCAUCUUACAAGAGACGGGAGCCUGUGAUAUCUAGUUGAUUAGUGCUAUUAGGGUGACACAUUAGAUGCAAAGAGCUGCAGAAGAACCUGACACCAGUUAAAACACAGACUGGACAAAAGAGGAAGAGCUCUGAUUAGUGAAAUGAUGGAGAAAACCCUCCCAAACAGACAUGGUUUCUUUGGAUGGGGAAGGAAGUAUCCUUUCGGCUCAGCCCCAGGACUGUGGGCCCUGGGCUUAUCAGCAGCUGGUGGGGUAGAGCUCUGGCUUGCCCCAGUCCAUUUCCUUUUAACAGGAGACCCACAUGCUGAGCUGUUAUGGGCAGACAUUAAUGAGCGAUCCUGGCACCAUCUGUUACGUACCUUUGUUACACAGAAGAUAACCUCACACCAAGUUCCUGUGUCACUUGCUAGCUUUCUUGGCAUGACCAAGAGCUGCGUCAUGCAAUAGUUGUUCGUGAUGAGUUUCUGAUUCUCUUUGGGAAUGCAGCAUUUUCUCAGACUGACAAGGCAAGAUCCUGCCUGCCUUGAAGAACAUACGAAUCCUGUCACUGGGGAGGACCAAUGUCAGCAGAGAGGUCCUUGCUAUCCAGGCUGGACACCUGUCUUUUGGAACAGAUGAGAGCUACAUUCACAGUGGCAGAAUGAAAAUAGAAACACAGUGGUAAGAAAGUGGCCAAUGGAAGUAUUGAGCUGUGGCUCUUGCAUUUUGCCUGGCCCUGGGGACACACACACACACAUGCACACCUCUGCACCAGAAUAAACGUGUGACCCAGGAGAAACCAGAGCGUGGUGCAGCAAGCAGUCCAGCACACUUAGUUUCAGUAGCCUGUAAAGAAAGCUGUAUUCCUCCUUUGAUACUUUCACAAUAUCAAAGCCCAAUUAAAACCCAUUAAAAUGGAUCAAUUUGAAACCCAAUGCCAAUCGUUCCCAAUCACUAACAUUGCUUUGAAGAAAUCCAUUCUCUAUCCUUGAGGGACCUUCACACAGGUGAGCAGAUGUCUAAGGUUGUAGUGACAGACAUUUACCAGUG